UGGGGAAUAUUGCACAAUGGGCGCAAGCCUGAUGCAGCCAUGCCGCGUGUGUGAAGAAGGCCUUCGGGUUGUAAAGCACUUUCAGCGAGGAGGAAGGUGGUGAGCUUAAUACGCUCAUCAAUUGACGUUACUCGCAGAAGAAGCACCGGCUAACUCCGUGCCAGCAGCCGCGGUAAUACGGAGGGUGCAAGCGUUAAUCGGAAUUACUGGGCGUAAAGCGCACGCAGGCGGUUUGUUAAGUCAGAUGUGAAAUCCCCGGGCUCAACCUGGGAACUGCAUUUGAAACUGGCAAGCUAGAGUCUCGUAGAGGGGGGUAGAAUUCCAGGUGUAGCGGUGAAAUGCGUAGAGAUCUGGAGGAAUACCGGUGGCGAAGGCGGCCCCCCGGACGAAGACUGACGCUCAGGUGCGAAAGCGUGGGGCAGCAAACAGGAUUAGAUACCCUGGUAGUCCACGCUGUAAACGAUGUCGAUUUUGGAGGUUGUGCCCUUGAGGCGUGGCUUCCGGAGCUAACGCGUUAAAUCGACCGCCUGGGGAGUACGGCCGCAAGGUU
rnacentral:rRNA from 1 species